rnacentral:rRNA from 1 species
AUUGAACGCUGGCGGCAUGCCUUACACAUGCAAGUCGAACGGUAACAGAUCUUCGGAUGCUGACGAGUGGCGAACGGGUGAGUAAUACAUCGGAACGUGCCUAGUAGUGGGGGAUAACUACUCGAAAGAGUGGCUAAUACCGCCUGAGAUCUACGGAUGAAAGCAGGGGAUUGCAAGACCUUGUGCUACUAGAGCGGCCGAUGGCAGAUUAGGUAGUUGGUGGGAUAAAAGCUUACCAAGCCGACGAUCUGUAGCUGGUCUGAGAGGACGAUCAGCCACACUGGGACUGAGACACGCCCAGACUCCUACGGGAGGCAGCAGUGGGGAAUUUUGGACAAUGGGCGCAAGCCUGAUCCAGCAAUGCCGCGUGCAGGAUGAAGGCCUUCGGGUUGUAAACUGCUUUUGUACGGAACGAAAAGCCCUGGGUUAAUACCCUGGGGUCAUGACGGUACCGUAAGAAUAAGCACCGGCUAACUACGUGCCAGCAGCCGCGGUAAAAC